ACGGGUGAGUAAUACAUCGGAACGUAUCCUGGAGUGGGGGAUAGCCCGGCGAAAGCCGGAUUAAUACCGCAUACGCUCUGAGGAGGAAAGCGGGGGACCUUCGGGCCUCGCGCUCAAGGGGCGGCCGAUGGCGGAUUAGGUAGUUGGUGGGGUAAAGGCCUACCAAGCCGACGAUCCGUAGCUGGUCUGAGAGGACGACCAGCCACACUGGGACUGAGACACGGCCCAGACUCCUACGGGAGGCAGCAGUGGGGAAUUUUGGACAAUGGGGGCAACCCUGAUCCAGCAAUGCCGCGUGUGUGAAGAAGGCCUUCGGGUUGUAAAGCACUUUUGUCCGGAAAGAAAUCAUCGGGGCCAAUACCCCUGGUGGAUGACGGUACCGGAAGAAUAAGCACCGGCUAACUACGUGCCAGCAGCCGCGGUAAUACGUAGGGUGCGAGCGUUAAUCGGAAUUACUGGGCGUAAAGCGUACGCAGGCGGUGCUGUAAGACCGAUGUGAAAUCCCCGGGCUUAACCUGGGAACUGCAUUGGUGACUGCAGCGCUGGAGUAUGGCAGAGGGGGGUGGAAUUCCACGC
rnacentral:rRNA from 1 species